UCAACUUGAAGUUUUCCAAAUGAAUGAAAUACUAUUAACUUGAUAAAAAAAAAAAACACCUGAUGUUCACUUCUUUGUCUUGUUCGUCAUUUCAGCAUAGGAAAUGUAUACACUUUAUACAAUCUUAAAUUUCUAUUUUAAUCUUUUAUUGUGCCAUGAUCCAGAUACAGAUUUAGCAAUAGAGGAUACAAACAAAAUGUCCAUUUUGCUCUGAGCAAAGUACACAGCCCACUCUCUGAAAUAUCAAAAUCCAGCAAAACUAAAAGAACAAGCCAGCUUUCCAAACUUCGUUAUAGCAGGUUAUGAAGUUUGUUCCUCUCAGAGUUUGUUUCUUGUAGGAUGUGCAGUGAUGGCAAGUUUGAUGAUAUACUAAAAAAGAGGCAAAUAUUGGGAUGUUCUGCGCCCGGAUUCACCAUCAGCCUAGAUUACCAAAAGAACCAUCUCUUGGGCGUUGAAACUCUUUCAGGCUCCUUUUUUGGCAGCUCCUGUCUUUUCUCAAUUCCUUGGUUCAAAGAUUCUAAUCGUUUCCUGUACACAACCAAAAUGGACAAAGAUUAGCAGAUAAUAAUCUGUCAAAAUUCAUGUCUCUAUCAUGAUUAGACUGGUCAUUAUCCCUAAACAUGAAUUUUCUCACAUUCAGUCUUAAAAGGAGAAUAUAAUUAACAGAUUUAAAUUAGAAUAUUUGAAGGUAUGCUGCAAUCCCUUUACGUGCUCUUUGGUGAUAUGUAUAAUCGAGGAGAGGGCAUAGGUAUGGAACCAAAAUCAAGCUAUAAAAUGAUAGAUAUGCAUCCAAGCAGCAAUGAUAGAUAUGCAUCCAAGCAGCGAUAAAGAAUCCACAAGAACAUAUGAAAAAAAUAACAGACACAACAUAUGCAACACAAUCACACGCUUCAGAUCAACGUCUAGUUAAUAAAUAACUAUGGACAAGUGCAAGGAAUACUUAGUGUCUUGAAGACGGCCGUGCAAACUCCAUCUCUGGCGAAAUCCUUCCAUGCCUUCAACUCCACUAGCAAGAAUCAAGCGCCUACAUAAAAUAAGAGAGAUAAGGGAUUCUGAACAGCCAUUAAAUAUGGACCAAUAAUAUCAGAUAUAAACAAAGUUACAAAUAAGGGAUGCUAUUCUUUGAUAUAGAAAAAAAGAGAGGAUGAGUUAAGAGGAGAAACAGCUAUAAACCUAUAAGGGAACAACAAUGAGUCAAGGAUAGACUCAGUGGAGAGCUAACAGGGAAUAAAACAGAGCCAAGCUCAAUUACUCAAAUAGAAAAAAUUAGGCAUAAAGCUACCACACAAGCACGUCUAAGCCAAAAAGAAGCUCUUCUAUUUCCAUUCCUUUAACCCCCUUCUCUUCUUCUUCAGUAGAAUGAUUUGUCUGAAAAAGAAAAAAUUCAAUCUUCCUAAAUGCCGGUUCCAACGCAACCCACCCAGCUUAUAGAUAAAAUCUGCCCGUACUAAAAAAGAAAAUUAUGUGUUUUAAAACUGAUUACUGACAUAAGCCAACAUAACACUAUACAUGAUAUUACUCUAUAGUCUAUACAACUAUACAAGGGUACACGAUAUUCUCCCUGCUGCUUCCAAACACUCUAUACACCAAAGCGGCUCAUAUCAACCAUCAGAGUUUCUAAUGAAGAAAUGGGAAGAUCAAUUUUUUACUUAAUACGAAAAAUACAAGCCUCUUAGUUACAUCUACCAGGAUAGCUGCCACAUCCAAACAGUAAUCAUUCAAUCCACAGAGCUCUACAUGGACCUUUACAUAUUCAAUUGAUCAAAUAGAAUCUGAAAGAAUUAAAACGUGGUAGUGGAACCUUGGCAGCACAAUUUUUAGGUGAAUCAUAAGAUACAUUUUAAAGUUUUGCAAAUGCGUAGGAGUACCCCAAUGUGAUUCAUUUAAAAUCCAAUAUCAUGGUGGCACAGAGGACAAAUAAGCUAAACAAUUAACACUUCCCGUAAGGUAGAAAUACCUCUCCAAUGAGGUGACCUCUGAUUGAAGUUGGACAACUCUCUCCUUUGCUGCAUCUAAAGGCAUUGACAACCCCAAUUUAUGUUCACUGUCUUUUAGUCUUUCCCUAAGUUCCUUAUCCUGCAUUUUAUUUCAGAAGUACAGAAUAAUGAACUGAAGUACUAAGGUAAAUAAAAAAUCUUGACAAAACUAAUAAAAAUUUCCAUGUGUUGUUCAGUGGGUUGUUCAGAUUAGUGGUCUCAUGCCCAUAUGGAAAACAAGAAAGACAGGUCAGUAGUAAAGCUUAAGAUGAUCAAGCUGGGACUGAACAUAAGUGGAGAUCAAAUAAAUUAGCUCACCCGUCUUUCAGCGCAUUGUCGAUACAUAGCAAUCUCAUCUUGACAGAAUGGCUCGAUAUCAUUAACUUGCAAGCCUAAAAACAUAGUGGCGCAAUCAAUAUUAUAAUAUCAAUGUAAACAAUUUUACAACACAGGUGACUUGACAUCACAAGCUAUGCAUGCAUUUAAGGAUUUUGGACCAUCCAUCAAUGGGUCAAGCAUAAGUGACUUGAGAUUGUAUCAGCAAUAGUUAAAAGUUAAAAACAUACAUGGAUUGAAACUUCAGGUAAGCUGACGCAAUAGUCAAGAAUAGGCGAAUAGUAUAUGUUCAGUGAACUAAGAUCAUGACUGGGCCCAAUGCCCUUUUUAUCAGGUUUUGCUAUUACUACAAUCACAACAGUGAUUUACCAAAGGACCUUAAAUCUUAUUUCAACAUACAAUUUAACUACUCAAAAUUAUAGAUACGCAAGAAAGCGCAUUGCAAUCAGACAAACAAAGCAGAAGUAGUAAUGAUCACUAUAAGUAACACUUACACAAGAACAAAUUCCGCAAAAUUCCAUCACAUAACUCGACAUUCUCCAAAACAUGUGAAGCAAUUUCAGGUGGUAUUAUUGGUGACGGUGGACCCAUCAUAAGGUCAUCACCAACCAAGAUUGUUUCCUCCAUACUCGGCUGUGAGUCAACUGCAUUCCACCCAAAAAAAAUUAAAUAAAAUUAACUCAGAAACUCAUACUAACUCUAAUCCAAAAUAUAAAGAAGUGGUUUAAGAUUAAAGUAGUACCAUCCAUGCUUGCUUUAGUUUAAAAAUCCUUCUCCACUAAUAACAAGCUACUGAUUUCUACCUUCGAGCACCUGAAAUAAAACAUUAGUUAGUUUAUUAGUAUUCUUCCAAGGGACAUUUCAUCAAAUAUGUUAUGGGCAUAACAGAUAUGGCAGAAGUAACGCGACUUACUUGUAGAUUCGAGAAGUAAUGCGACUUACUUGUAGAUUUGAGAAGUAACGCGACUUACUUGUAGAUUCGAAGUGUGGUUCAAGUGAACGGAACAAUAGGCAGAGAGUUGUUGUUCGCAAGUUCAAAACUUGAAAAACAAAUACACUACUACUUACUGACUCGAAAACCCUCGAAAGCAUUCGAGGAAGUUUUGCAAUUUUUCCAGUGAAGUAGUGAAUUGAGAAUGAGUUUGUUGAGCAACUUGGACUGACUUGUAGAAUGCCCAAAUGUUGGGAUUUUAUAAUUUAUGGGCCACAUUAACACAAUUUUUGGGCUAUUUCAAAUAAGUUUCACAAACUACGUAGCUGCUGGUUGAACCGUUGAAGACUGAAGAGGUAAGUUGUAGAGGUAAAAUCAAAACUGUGGCAUUGACAAUCUUUGAUACCGAAAGAUUACAGAUAAUCCUGGAAAAUGGGAUCCCAGUCGUUAGUAAUCAGGUUUGCAGAAUAUACCAAUAUCACUCCUCUUUUUCCACUUGUUCAAUUCUUUGUAUGGGUAGUCUAUUGCUAACACUCAUUUGGGGGUUCUAUAGGUCCAACAUUCUAUUGUCGAUAUGCGUCCUCAACAGAAAAUGGAAGAACUCUGUCAGCACACAGGAGUCGAGCUAAUAACGUCUCUCUCUGUCUGCAAACAUCUUUGAUUUUCUUUACAAUGCUACAGUUGUUUCUGUUUUUUGGAGAUGGGAAUUCGAAGUGGUUAUGUGGCAGUGAACAGUCAAGUUCUCUCAAUAGGGCAUAAGACAUGUAUGGUUGUAGGAACGAGAUGAUGAACCGAACCAUAUGGUUUCCCCAAUGAAAUUGUACACAAUAUAUAUUCUGUCUUUACUGAUGUUUUACGAUGAACUUUGGAGAAUGCCAAGUCGCCUCACAUAUAUAUUUCUAUGCGUUAGGCAUAAUUUUCCCAAAUAGGUUGUAGGUCCAUUUGUAUAUACAUGAUAACAUAACUCAGAUAUAUCUAUCAACACUUAAUAGACGACGUGUUUCUAAUGCAGUUUUUGACAAUAUUGAACUUGAAACUGCAGGUAUGGAAUUGUAAUGGGUGGUCUACUGUCUGAGAAGUUUCUUGACACCAUUUAUCCAUUCCUUUUGCUGGCCCACCUCUAAACACUCCUUCCCUGCAGAAGUAUAAGAGGGUAUUGUUCUUCCUCCUUUAUAACCUCCUUUUUUUCUCAAUGUGGUGAUUAGUUUAUGCUUAUAUAGUUGAAUUUUUUUCAGAUGGUGGAUGCCUGGGGAGGGUGGAGUCUCUUCCAAGCUCUGCUCAAAACCUUAAACCAAGUAGCUACUAAACAUAUGGUAUCCAUACCUACUGUGGCUGUGAGAUACAUACUAGACCAGGUAACUUCUUCUCACCUAUCUAUAUAUCAUAGUAUCAUCUAAGAAUGUGAUCUAAAGCAUAUUAUGACACUUCACUAUGCCGGACUGCAGCCAUCAGUAGCAAGAUCAAUGGUAGGUGUCAGACUUGGUCUAUCAGAGCAUAUCCAAGACUGCAAAGCUGUCUUCUCACUUACUCUUGACGAGGAUGACUUUAACAACAUUGAAGAAGUACCAAAGAAAGGAAAAGAUUUAUUAAGAGUAAUUGGUGAUUGUGGAGACGAAUAUAGGCGUGCGUGAGAGUUUAUACUUCAUAGUUUUGCAUAAUACAUUUUUGUGGUCAUUGUUUGCGUCCAGGAUAAGAGCUCUGAGUUUUGUAUCAAUUAUAAAUUGGGCACUCUGAUUUUGAAUCGAAAUAUAAAGAAAACCAAUUUUAUGUGCUGAUGUCAUACCCGGUAGCUAGUCUCAAUUAUCAUUACUCAAUAUUUAAUUUAUGAGCAAGGUCAUAAAUUGAUUAGUGGAGAUAGUAAGGACUGGACAAAUCAAAUUUGCAUUCUGCCGCAAACAGUCCCAUGUUUGCUGGAUUGAGUUAUAGGAUGGAGUUUUGGGAGCUAGAAUGCUAUUGUACCUAUAGUCAUUGUUACAGUCUGUCAGACAAAUAAGGAGAAAAGAGUAAGACAGGCAAACCAUUGAGGCAGGGCAAGGGCACCUGUUUCUGCUACUAUGGAAGUUUGUUGUUUAUGCUAUUAACAGACAUGAAUAAAUACAUAGGAUUUUGUUGAAAGUGAAAAUCGGAAUGCUCUUCCACGGCUCUGGAAGAAAAGGCGCAGAAAAAUGCAAAGAUCAAAAGCUAAAAUCUCAAAUCCUGUUAUUGAAGCAAUCCAGAAUGCAUCUCUACUGGUGUCAAACCAUUGAUCUGCUCAGCUGCCUCUACAACUUACCACUUCAGUCUCCAACGGUUCAACCAGCAGCUACGUAGUUUGUGAAACUUCAUUUGAAAUAGGCCAAAAAUUGUGUUAAUGUGGUCAAUAAAUUAUAAAAGCCCAACAUUUGGGCAUUCUACAAAUCAGUCCAAGUUGCUCAACAAACUCAUUCUCAGUUCACUACUUCACUGGAAAAAUUGCAAAACUCCCUCAAAUGUUUUCGAGGGUUUUCGAGUCAGUAAGUAGUAGUGUAUUUGUUUUCCAAGUUUUGAACUUGCGAACAACAGCUCUCUGCCUAUUGUUCCGUUCACUUGAACCACACUUCGAAUCUACAAGUAAGUCGCGUUACUUCUCGAAUCUACAAGUAAGUCGCGUUACUUCUGCCAUAUCUGUUAUGCCCAUAACAUGCUUGAUGAAAUGUCUCUUAGAAGAAUACUAAUAAACUAACUAAUGUUUUAUUUCAGGUGCUCGAAGGUAGAAAUCAGUAGCUUGUUAUUAGUGGAGAAGGAUUACUAAACUAAAGCAAGCAUGGAUGAUCCUACUUUAAUCUUAAACCACUUCUUUAUAUUUUGGAUUAGAGUUAGUAUGAGUUUCUGAGUUAAUUUUUUUGUGUGGAAUGCAGUUGACUCACAGCCGAGUAUGGAGGAAACAAUCUUGGUUGGUGAUGACCUUAUGAUGGGUCCACCAUCACCGAUAAUACCACCUGAAAUUGUUUCACAUGUGUUGGAGAAUGUCGAGUUAUGUGAUGGAAUUUUGCGGAAUUUGUUCUUGUGUAAGUGCUACUUAAAGUGAUCAUUACCACUUCUGCUUUGUGUCUGAUUGCAAUACGAUUUCUUGCACAUCUAAAAUUUUGAGUAGUUAAAUUGUAUGUUGAAAUAAGAUUUAAGGUCCCUUGGUAAAUCACUGUUGUGACUAUAGUAGUAGCAAAACCUGAUAAAAAGGGCAUUGGGCCCAGUCGUAGAUGAUCUUAAUUCACUGAACAUAUACUAUUCGUCUAUUCUUGACUAUUGCGUCAGCUUACAUGAAGUUUCAAUCCAUGUAUGUUUUUAACUUUUAACUAUUGCUGAUACAAUCUCAAGUCACUUAUGCAUGACCCAUUGAUGGAUGGUCCAAAAUCCUUAAAUGCAUGCAUAGCUUGUGAUGUCAAGUCACUUGUGCUGUAAAAUUGCUUGUGCUACUUUCUAGCUAUAUAUAUAUUUGUUUACAUUGAUAUUAUAAUAUUUAUUGCGCCACUAUGUUUUUAGGCUUGCAAGUUAAUGAUAUCGAGCCAUUCUGUCAAGAUGAGAUUGCUAUGUACCGACAAUGCGCUGAAAGACGGGUGAGCUAAUUUAUUUCAUCUGCAUUUAUGUUCAGUCCCAGCUUGAUCAUCUUAAGCUUUACCACUGUCCUGUCUUUCUUCUUUUCCAUAUGGGCAUGGGACCACUAAUGUGAAGCCACUGAAUAGCACAUGGAAAUUUUUAUUAGUUUUGUCAAGAUUUUUUUAUUUACCUUAGUACUUCAGUUCAUUAUUCUGUACUUCUGAAAUAAAAUGCAGGAUAAGGAACUCAGGGAAAGACUAAAAGACAGUGAACAUAAAUUGGGGUUGUGAAUGCCUAUAGAUGCAGCAAAGGAGAGAGUUGUCCAACUUCAAUCAGAGGUCACCUCAUUGGAGAGGUAUUUCUACCUUACGGGAAGUGUUAAUUGUUUAGCUUAUUUGUCCUCUGUGCCACCAUGAUAUUGGAUUUUAAGUGAAUCACAUUAGGGUACUCCUACGCAUUUGCAAAACUUUAAAAUGUAUCUUAUGCUUCACCUAAAAAUUGUGCUGCCAAGGUUCCACUACCAGGUUUUAAUUCUUUCAGAUUCUAUUUGAUCAAUUGAAUAUGUAAAGGUCCAUAUAAAGCUCUGUUUGAUCUUCCCAUUUCUUCAUUAGAAACUCUUAUGGUUGAUAUGAGCCGCUUUGGUGUAUAGAGUGUUUGGAAGCAGCAGAGAGAAUAUCGUGUACCCUUGUAUAGUUGUAUAGACUAUAGAGUAGAAUCAUGUAUAGUGUUAUGUUGGCUUAUGUCAGUAAUCAGUUUUAAAACACACAAUUUUCUUUUUUAGUACGGGCAGAUUUUAUCUAUAAGCUGGGUGGGUUGCGUUGGAACCGGCAUUUAGGAAGAUUGAAUUUUUUCUUUUUCAGACAAAUCAUUCUUCAGAAGAAGAAGAGAAGGGGGUUAAAGGAAUGUAAAUAGAAGAGCUUCUUUUUGGCUCAGACGUGCUUGUGCGGUAACUUUAUGCCUAAUUUUUUCUAUUUGAGUAAUUGAGCUUGCCUCUGUUUUAUUCCCUGUUAGUUCUACAGCAUAUAUAUUAAGUUUUCAUGUUAUUAAUAACAUUAUUUUGAAGAUCUAACUAUGAAAAUUUUCCCUUUUUACCUAGUAAAAUUGGAUAUCCUCAAUAAUUUACAUAAAAACAUGUGCGAGCGUACGCUCCCAACGAUGCUAAACAACGNNNNNNNNNNNNNNNNNNNNNNNNNNNNNNNNNNNNNNNNNNNNNNNNNNNNNNNNNNNNNNNNNNNNNNNNNNNNNNNNNNNNNNNNNNNNNNNNNNNNUCCAGGGACUCAGGAAAUAUUUGACUCAAUUUUGACUCAAUCCCAUUUAGGGUACUUGUACAUAUUGGAUUGACAUGAUUUUUUGUAGGAUGAAUGUUCUCAUUAUGUACGACAUCUUCACCAAAAUUUAUCAUAAUCUGAAUUUUCUAACUCUAAAAAAAUCAUAUUACUAAGUUAAUGUAUUGUGGAACGUUCAUUUUUCCCGUUGAAUUUAAUAUUACAUUUGAUGGGUCUAAAUAUAUUCAAAUGAGCUGAUUUUUUAUGUAGUAGAUCUUUAUAGUAAGGAGAUCAUAUCUACCAAAAAUCACGCCAAUCCAAUAUAUACAAGUACCCUAAAUAAGAUUGAGUCAAAAUUGAGUCAAACAUUUCCUGAGUCCCUAGAACCCCUCCUUAAAAACAUUACAAACAAAAUGAAUGUCAAUCAAGUCUCUGUAAUAUAUAUAUUUAACAUAUUUACUCAAUAGUAUAUACUCUUUAAAGCACAACAUAUAACUGUAAUACCAGAAUCCUAAUACGGUUUAGGAAACUCAAAGCUUAUGCCCAAAAAACAAAUUGUAUACCGAAACAAACCAAAACCAGUUUCUCCAAAAGGUGUUAAAACCCUCUUAACAAAAAUUGUGUUUAUUGUGACAAUUAGAUUUCCUAAACACAUUGAUAGAACAACAACAGAGUAUUGGAGAUCAAACACAAACAUCCAACAAGCCUAAAACAAAACAAAACAAAAACCCAAAACCUAACAUACAAAAGCAUAUUUCAUAAACCCACUUGACAAAAAAAAUCCUUUUCUGUCACCAAUGAAUACCACUGCAAGAAACAAGAAUCCUAUCAUGGUUUACAAAACUCAAUGAUUAUGCCCAAAAAGCAAAUUGUAAUAAAAACCCAGCUUUUCCAAAGGUUGAUAAACCCUCUUAGCAAUAUUUGAUUUUUUAGCUAUACAAUUAGAUUUUAAAAACACACAUUGAUAGAUCAAUAAAAAUAUCGAAGAUCAAACACAACAACAUCAAAAACCCUACAACAGAAGAAAAAAAUUCUUAACAAAAAUUGUGUUUUUAGCUACAAAUAGAUUUCCUAAAGACAUAUUGAUAGGUCAAUAAUUACAAUAUAAAAAAACCUAAAUCAAUUUAAGAAACUGAAAACACUAAAACAUAAAUUGAGAAUGGGAUAAAAGGAAUAAUGGUCGAACCUGAAGCAAGGAUCUUCUUGAUAUCACCGGCGGAAGGUGCAGUGUUUCCGCCCAACAAAGCAAGCAUGUAAGCAGCGAUAACCUUCACGUCUUCUCUCUAAAACUGCACAACCACACAAAGAUACAUAAAUUAUUAGCUUCUUGAAUACCUAAUUAUCAAAGUAAAGAAAAGCGAAGAGAGAGAGGAAGAAGAACAACUUACAAGAUCUCUGCAGAGUGAGUUGGUUUGCAAAGGGAGGUCGUGGAGUGAAUUUUAGGGCUUUAUUAUAUCAAAUUCUGCCCUAGAUAAAAAUAUUUAUUUGACUGCACUGUUUUGGUCUGGGUUGUCUGCUUUUGCUAGCUCGGCUCUGAGCCUCUGAGGCCUGCUGGUCUAGAGUUUUUUCUUUUGUUUGGUUUUUCAUUCUUGAAUGUAAAUGGACGUUACCCAAGCCGUCUAGGGAGCCGGUGCUGACCCAAAGGAUAUGCCUGGGCUAGUCCCUUUGUGGCUAGUCCGAUAGGGAUUGCAUAGCUCAAGUUGUAUAUUAUUGUAUUAACUUGAUCCAAAAAAAAUAAAAAUAAAUAACACCUGUUGUUAACUUCUUGUCUUGUUCAUCAUUUCAGCAUAGGAACUGUAUACACUUUAUAGUCUUAAAUUUCUAUUUUAAUCUUUCAUUGUGAUACGAUCCAGAUACAGAUUUAGCAAUAGAGGAUACAAACAAAAUGUUCAUUUUUCUCUUAGCAAAGUACACAGCCCACUCACUGAAAUAUCAAAAUCCAGCAAAACUAAAACAACAAGCUGGCUUUCCAAACUUUGUUAUAGUAGGUUAUGAAGUUUGCUUCUCUCGGAGUUUGUUUCUUGUAGGCUGAUGUGCAGUGAGGGCAAGUUUGAUAAUAUAUUAAAAGAGGCAAAUAUUGGGAUGUUCUGCGCCCGGAUUCACCAUCUGCCUAGAUUACCAAAAGAACCAUCUCUUGGGCGUUGAAACUCUUUCAGGCUCCUUUUUUGGCAGCUCCUGUCUUUUCUCAAUUCCUUGGUUCAAAGAUUCUAAUCGUUUC
rnacentral:lncRNA from 1 species